CAGCCGCCACGGUAAUACGAAGGGGGCUAGCGUUGCUCGGAAUUACUGGGCGUAAAGGGAGCGUAGGCGGAUCGUUUAGUCAGGGGUGAAAUCCCGGGGCUCAACCUCGGAACUGCCUUUGAUACUGGCGAUCUUGAGUAUGGGAGAGGUGUGUGGAACUCCGAGCGUAGAGGUGAAAUUCGUAGAUAUUCGGAAGAACACCAGUGGCGAAGGCGACACACUGGCCCAUUACUGACGCUGAGGCUCGAAAGCGUGGGGAGCAAACAGGAUUAGAUACCCCCGUAGUCCCUGUCUCUUAUAC
rnacentral:rRNA from 1 species